rnacentral:rRNA from 1 species
AACGCUAGCUACAGGCUUAACACAUGCAAGUCGAGGGGAAACGACAUCGAAAGCUUGCUUUUGAUGGGCGUCGACCGGCGCACGGGUGAGUAACGCGUAUCCAACCUGCCCGCCACUUGGGAAUAACCUUGCGAAAGUAAGACUAAUACCCAAUGAUAUCUCUAGAAGGCAUCUGAAAGAGAUUAAAGAUUUAUCGGUGAUGGAUGGGGAUGCGUCUGAUUAGCUUGUUGGCGGGGUAACGGCCCACCAAGGCAACGAUCAGUAGGGGUUCUGAGAGGAAGGUCCCCCACAUUGGAACUGAGACACGGUCCAAACUCCUACGGGAGGCAGCAGUGAGGAAUAUUGGUCAAUGGACGAGAGUCUGAACCAGCCAAGUAGCGUGCAGGAUGACGGCCCUAUGGGUUGUAAACUGCUUUUAUAAGGGAAUAAAGUGAGAGUCGUGACUCUUUUUGCAUGUACCUUAUGAAUAAGGACCGGCUAAUUCCGUGCCAGCAGCCCGCGGUAAUACGGAAGGUCCGGGCGUUAUCCGGAUUUAUUGGGUUUAAAGGGAGCGUAGGCCGGAAAUUAAGCGUGUUGUGAAAUGUAGAUGCUCAACAUCUGAACUGCAGCGCGAACUGGUUUCCUUGAGUACGCACAAAGUGGGCGGAAUUCGUGGUGUAGCGGUGAAAUGCUUAGAUAUCACGAAGAACUCCGAUUG